UUUUUGGAAUAUUCAGCCCUGCAGCUCAUCUCUGCUCUCUUUGCAGGUUGCCCUGGCAAUGGGGUGGUGUGAGAUCCGCCCUGGCACGGCUGUGUCUGUCCCACACCCACUGCAGGCAGCCCUGCCUGUACCUGCCGGGACAUGCAGCAGGUGACAGUGAGUCCUGUAGGCUCGUGCCACCUCCCAGCCCCAUCUGUGUGUGCAGCAGGUGCUUCAGGCUCUUUUCCAGCAGAAAGCCACCUCGUUUUCCCGGGUUAGGCAUCCUGCAGCACGACAGGAAAACUGUUCCAAGUGCCCAUCCAAUAGGAGAUGCUCGAGGACAGAAUGUCACUUGAAUGAGCUACUCCCUACACUAAGCAGAAGGUGACUGGACAAUUUACAUCUGCACACUUAUCAAAAGGAAGGCUGAAGAAUCAUAUUUAUUGGGUUCUCCACAGCCACAGGCCUGUGUUUAGUCCCAUGGUGCAGGAGGACCACAAGUGGAAGCACAGCCUGGUGAGCCCAGCAAGCAGAUCCUAACCCCAAGACACAGAUGUGCUGGACAGGAGAGCCCUGCCCUGCCCAACACUGUGGCAACAAAGGUGUUUAUCAGUACCUGACCAUCUGAGAGUUGGUUCUCCAGGCUGAUGCUCCAGCAGCACUGCAGAUUCCCAAACAGCAACACCAACCUCCUGAACUGGAUGGAGAACAUGGAAUUUGAUGCUACAGAGUCACUCAGAGGUACCAGGCUCUGGCUGUGACUCUGAACAGCUCCCUGAGUGCCCGUGGAGAGCAGACCAGUGUGGGAUUGGGCUUUAGAAACCCUCACAGGCUUUUCCUCUGCACAUCCCCCCAGCAGUCUGCACUGCACAUCUUCCUGCCUCCAGCCCUGGAAGGAUGUGCCACACUCCAGCGUGGGAGAACAGAGGAUCUGCAGCUGGGUAAGGUUGGUUGUGUUGCUUUCCCAGGGAGUUGCAGUGAUGGCUUUGGAAAAAACUGCUGCACUUCUGCUCCUGGCUCUGACCCCUUGCACAGCAGUUACUGUGCUUGGAUUCCAUUUGUAUUGCCAGGCAGGGGAAGAGAGAGGAAAAUAUGUCCUGCUUUUGCACUUAUGUCACUUAUUCAUUUAUAUAUAGACUCCAUCUUUGCAGUGUUAGUUACUCAUGUUGCUUUAUAUGGACCAAAGAGUUACUUGGAGAGGAGAGAGUUAAACAACAAGAAAUGGGCUGUAAAACUAAUUUCUUCAGACUCUGAGUCGCUCCCUGUCAGCAAGUGUGUUUGUGAUUCUAUUUCUGUGCAGUAAAACCCCGAUGAACCUUUCCAUACCAGAUGAGCCUUCCAUUCCCAAGGCUGUGGGACAGCAGUGCUUGGUGGAAGCUGUCCUGUGUGUGUGUGUGCACAUAUCCUGAGCUGUCAUGAUCCACAGGGAUCUCCUGAGCUAUCAGAAGGUGCCUGCCAGCCCAUUCCACAGCAUAUUACUAUUUUAAAUGUGUUUGGAACACACAUUUUGGAAACAUCCUUUCUUAUUUUACUUUUAUUUCAUAGAGGAAAAACCCAAAAGAUGCCUGCAAAGUGUUUCAGCUUGUAAUUUAUCCCUGCAGAACUGGGAGAGCAGCUCACUUAAUCCAUAAAUACCUUUUAUGUCAAUAGGUUAAAACAAACCCUAAAAUAUUCCCCUGCACAGAAAGCAGCUUAAUCUCAAACCCUUCCCUGCAGGUCCUGGUCAGGAAUCCCAGGAAGGCAGGCAUUCCAUGGAGCCUGGAGCAGGCUCAGCCUGGCCUGGGCACAGCCAUCAAUUCUGGGACACAGGGACAGGCCUGACCUCCCGCCCCACGAGGGGAUGAUCACACGCUGGGCUUGGUUAAAAACAGAAUUACACUGCAAUUACCAGGCCUGUGUUAAUGGUUAAUUUGAAUUACUCUGUCCAGGUCUCUCCUGGCCAUUAACUCCCAGGGCUGCUCCUGAGCAGCUCCAUGGGGAGUGAGUCCUGUGAAGGUGUUUGUGGAAGUGCUGCAGAACAGACACUGCAGAGUGAACUGGGGAGAAGGAAGUGCCCUGAGUGAGGGGCUGGGAUUUCUGGCUGCAGGGUUUGGUCACAGAACUCAGAACCUUUCAUUUGCCCCCAUCCCAGCCUGCAGUAACCAGGGCCAGCCCCGUCCCUUACCCCUGGAGGGGGAGCUGCACCAUCAGCACCAAGUGCUGUGGUCUGAGCUCACAGAACAGGGUCAGCACUUCUGAGGCUGAGGCAGGAGCCCCUUCUCCCUCACUCUGUGCUCAGCUGCCACUGAGGCAUUCUGGCAGAGGCUGUCAGGAGAAUACAGCCAGGACACUGUCCCUCCAGGGGGUGACACUGCCACCAUUCAGCCAGUGGUGUUCAGGGAGUGGGAGUUCCUGCCUCAGGACACCCCAUCCACAGGUGGGAAUGCUGGGCUCUGGCAGAGCCUGGAUGAGCAGCACCAGUCAGGGGGAGUAUCUGGGUUGUACCUACACCUCCUCUCAGGACCUGCUCUGCACUUCCUCUCCUACCACAUUUACAGUCUCCCCUGAGACUUUAAAGCCACCAGUGAUAGUCCAGAUCCACAUCCAAGGAAAUUACUCAGAUCACUAACCCAGAACUUUUAAAUGCAGGGGGUUCUCUGUUUCUGGUAUAAAAGUUGGGCUGUUUCUGUAAUAAAAUACUGUAUUAUUUAGUAAAGAAGCAAUAUGCUACUGCUUUUAAUGUACUACUUUUGGAAUAAAACUUCUCCAAAGGAAAUUAUGAAGCAUCAAACUUCUACCUAAUUGUGAUGGAAACCAUUCUAAGAGAACAGCUCAGUCUUACACAAUUAAAUGCAGGAGUGAGAGUUCCAUUAAACCUGAUCUAAGUUAUGCAAAAGCCAAUUCAAAAAAAUACCUUGAAUUACCACAAAUAAUUUGCAUUUUAAGUGAUCACUGAUGUUGGAACUGACUUUAUAAAAGCCACUUCAAACAAAAAUUACUUACAAACACUAUGUGCUCUGGGCUAAAUAUUCCUAAGAAAACAACAUUUGCAUAACCAUCCAGCACCUGUGGAGUUUCCAUGGGCAGGGUUUCAUCACUGGGAGAAUUAUCUCCCUUCUUGCCUCCCAGAAAUCCCUGGGAACAGGGCUGUCAUUGCUUCCUUUCUCUCAGAGACUUGUCACUUUGUGCCAGGGAUGUUCUGAGUGAUUGUCCAGAAGGGAAUGGAUGAGAACAGAUUGGAUUUAUGCAGGUCAUCAGCUAUGGCUCUGCCACACAGAAAUAAAGCCUCUCUCUCCUCCUCCUCUCUUCCUCUCAGUUACCUUGUACACCAACAAUGAACGUGGGAGAUGCAAACACUGCAGAGCCCCUUCUCCAGCAGGACUGAACCAGCACCUUCAAUGUUAACCUGAUUUUUGCUGGCUCUUGACCUAAUUAUGUGUGAGAACCUACAGGAAGGAGUGAUUUUGUUGGAGGAUUUGGGUCUCUCUUUGUGUUUCAUUUUAAGCAGCAGGUGCCCCCCGGUGCUCCAGCCUUACCCUGCUG